rnacentral:tRNA from 1 species
GCCCGUGUGGUGCAGUGGUUAGCAUUCCAUGAGGAGUUGGCCCUUCGAAGCGUUUGGAUUUACAGAAAAAAACACAACACCCACAAAAACCGCUACUCAUGGGGCCCAGGUUCGAAUCCUGGCACGGGCA